AGGGGCUGGCGGCUUGGGGAGCCUUGGGGAGGGGAAGUGGCAUCCUCCGGCCAUUUUCAGCUCUGGUGGAUUUAAGUUUAGACUCUGUAACCUAGAGGGG
rnacentral:lncRNA from 1 species